rnacentral:rRNA from 1 species
GUGCCAGCAGCGGCGGUAAUACGUAGGGUGCGAGCGUUGUCCGGAUUUACUGGGCGUAAAGAGCUCGUAGGCGGUUUGUCACGUCGUCUGUGAAAACCCGAGGCUUAACCUCGGGCCUGCAGGCGAUACGGGCAGACUUGAGUACUGUAGGGAGACUGGAAUUCCUGGUGUAGCGGUGGAAUGCGCAGAUAUCAGGAGGAACACCGGUGGCGAAGGCGGGUCUCGUGGGCAGUAACUGACGCUGAGGAGCGAAAGCGUGGUAGCGAAC